UUUUUUUUAAUUUAGAAAAAGAAAAGGAAUAAAAUGACAUAAAGAAGAAGGGCGAAAUUGUCUUUUCACUUGCGCUUGUCUUCCAAUUCGACGGAUAAAAAUGCGCACCGUAGAAUUGGCACCGUGCGACGUCCAUUCUCGUCACUUUGCACACCGCCAAUCGAGCUACGGCUAAGAUAAGUUUUUGGUUUUCAGCUUCUCUGGUAAGCCUACAUGGGAAACAAACCCGCGAAGCAAUCAGGAGGAAGGGAUGAAAUGUUGAAGAUAGUGCCUCCUUUGGACCAAGCAUAUAUUAGGUGGCUCGCACGGGAUCUCGAGAGGAUUCAUGGCUUCACCCCAAGAAACCCUCGUGCUGUGAAGCCUCCCGAUCACUACAUAGAGUUCAUGCGCUUGAACGGAUGGUUGGACGUGAGUUUAGACGAUCCUGAUCUCGCACGGUUACUGAAAUAGCCUUCUCUUGCAACUUGAAAGUGUACCAAUGUCAAGUUUUGUGUAUCUUCUGCCAUUUGCCAUUUGAGGUAAUUCUGUUUAUAUCAAACAGUUGCCGGUUAGCAAUGUCUGAUAACGAGGAAUUAUGGAAUAAAACUGUGUGGUAGCCCAACUUUCACAUCAGACUGAUGUUUGUAAUGCCAUACUUAUCUCCAUGGAUGAACUUUCAAGAUUUUGCUGCA